rnacentral:sRNA from 1 species
AAGAAGAAGAAAAAUCUGAGAAUUAGGGAUUGAAGUUUAAUUUAGGGAUUUAUUUGUCGUUUUGGUCACAAACAUAGAGCCGAUAACGGAGGAUAACGUCGGCUAAUGGGUCUGUUAAACGAUUUAACGACAUUGGACCUGCUCAACGGAAAGAUCAUGUUUUAAAUAUUGGUCAACGAUAAGUUGAUGUUUUAAAUGGGUUACUAUGAAGUUGACUUAUUGAAUGACCACUUUUUGAAAGUUAAGGGAUUAAACAACAUUUUUCUCUCAUUUUAGAAUGUGUGUACAAC